UUGUGGUUUGAAUGUUUCUGUGUUUUUUGUUAUUUUGAAAUAGAUAUCAUGUAAGAAGCUUUUGAUUGUGAAUUGAUCUGUUUUUUUAUUUUUAUUAUCUGUUGAAUAUUUGGGCUUUCUGAUGUUUUUUUUUACUUUUGAACAGCUGUGAAUCUCUGAUUGUAUUGCUAAUCCCAGAAUACAUAGUUGUACUGAAAACAAAUAGAACAGGUUUGCUUUCUAAAGAAAACCUGUUUUUACUAUUGUACUCCCAAUUUUUAUGUGCUGCAAUUUUUAUUGAAUUAUUUGUUGUCCUUAGUUUUCAACUAAUAUCAAUUUUUAUCUUCUGCAGAUUCUGUGGGUUCUACAGUUUCAGAUCCGGGUAACUCACUGCAAGAACUUCAAGGUUUAAAACAGAAUAGCAACUAAAGUGUCAAAGCUGCAGAGUUUCAAAUAAAAGGUUUAAAACAAAACAUCAGUAACUAAGUGUCAAAGCUCUAGAGUUUAAAAUCAAGGGUUGAAGUGAAGACAAUAUCUCUAUUUCAUACAGACAUUUUCUGCAGAAGGCUGAUUUGAAGGCAGAUACAAAGCUGGCAAAACGAUCUGAUGUGAAGGCAUUAACCAAGG